rnacentral:rRNA from 1 species
UACGGGGGGGGGCAAGCGUUGUUCGGAAUUACUGGGCGUAAAGCGUGCGCAGGCGGUUGUGCAAGACAGAUGUGAAAUCCCCGGGCUCAACCUGGGAAUUGCAUUUGUGACUGCACGGCUAGAGUGUGUCAGAGGGGGGUAGAAUUCCACGUGUAGCAGUGAAAUGCGUAGAGAUGUGGAGGAAUACCGAUGGCGAAGGCAGCCCCCUGGGAUAACACUGACGCCUCAUGCACGAAAGCGUGGGGAGCAAACAGG